UACGGGGGGGGCAAGCGUUGUUCGGAAUUACUGGGCGUAAAGGGCGCGUAGGCGGCCUGCUAAGUCGGACGUGAAAUCCCUCGGCUCAACCGAGGAACUGCGUCCGAUACUGGUGGGCUUGAAUCCGGGAGAGGGAUGUGGAAUUCCAGGUGUAGCGGUGAAAUGCGUAGAUAUCUGGAGGAACACCGGUGGCGAAGGCGGCAUCCUGGACCGGUAUUGACGCUGAGGCGCGAAAGCCAGGGGAGCAAACAGG
rnacentral:rRNA from 1 species